UACAGAGGUCCCAAGCGUUGUUCGGAUUCACUGGGCGUAAAGGGUGCGUAGGCGGUCGGGUAAGUCUGAUGUGAAAUCUCACAGCUUAACUGUGAAACUGCAUUGGAUACUAUUCGGCUUGAGAGUUGGAGGGGGGACUGGAAUUCUUGGUGUAGCAGUGAAAUGCGUAGAUAUCAGGAGGAACACCAAUGGCGAAGGCAGCUCGCUGGGACGGUACUGACGCUGAGACGCGAAAGCGUGGGGAGCAAACAGG
rnacentral:rRNA from 1 species